rnacentral:rRNA from 1 species
UACGUAGGGUCCGAGCGUUGUCCGGAAUUAUUGGGCGUAAAGGGCUCGUAGGCGGUCCGUCACGUCGGGAGUGAAAACUCAGGGCUCAACCCUGAGCGUGCUUCCGAUACGGGCGGACUAGAGGUAGGCAGGGGAGAACGGAAUUCCUGGUGUAGCGGUGAAAUGCGCAGAUAUCAGGAGGAACACCGGUGGCGAAGGCGGUUCUCUGGGCCUUACCUGACGCUGAGGAGCGAAAGCGUGGGGAGCAAACAGG